GGGGGAAUUUCGGGAUGAGGGGAGGAACACUGGGAUGGAGGGGGAAAAUCAGCGGGAUGAGGGGGAGAGCAGAGGGAUAAGGUGGGAAAACACCGGGAUGGGGGUGGAAUAGCACCAAGAGAAGGGGAGAAAAUACUGGAAUGAGGUGGAAAAGCACCAGAAGGAGGUGGGGAACUAGCAGGAUGAGGUGAAAAGAUGUUGGGAUGAGGUGGAAAGACACUGAGAUGAGGCGGAAAAACACUGGGAUGAGGUGGAAAGAUGUUGGGAUGAGGUGGAAAGACUGGGAUGAGGUGGAAAAACAUUGGGAUGAGGUGGAAAGACACUGGGAUGAGGUGGAAAAACACUGGGAUGAGGCGGAAAACCACUGGGAUGAGCUGGAAAACACCAGGAUGAGGCGGAAAGACAUU